rnacentral:rRNA from 1 species
CUUAGCGGCGAACGGGUGAGUAACACGUAAAGAACCUGCCUUAUAGACUGGGACAACUACGGGAAACUGUAGCUAAUACCGGAUAAUAUAUAAAUCCGCAUGGAUGUAUAUUGAAAGUCGCUCAUGGUGACACUAUAAGAUGGCUUUGCGGUGCAUUAGCUAGUUGGAAGGGUAAAGGCCUACCAAGGCAACGAUACAUAGCCGACCUGAGAGGGUGAUCGGCCACACUGGGACUGAGACACGGCCCAGACUCCUACGGGAGGCAGCAGUAGGGAAUCUUCGGCAAUGGGGGGAACCCUGACCGAGCAACGCCGCGUGAGUGAAGAAGGUUUUCGGAUCGUAAAGCUCUGUUGUAAGAGAAGAACGAGUGUGAGAGUGGAAAGUUCACACUGUGACGGUAUCUUACCAGAAAGGGACGGCUAACUACGUGCCAGCAGCCGCGGUAAUACGUAGGUCCCGAGCGUUGUCCGGAUUUAUUGGGCGUAAAGCGAGCGCAGGCGGUUUGAUAAGUCUGAAGUUAAAGGCUGUGGCUCAACCAUAGUUCGCUUUGGAAACUGUCAAACUUGAGUGCAGAAGGGGAGAGUGGAAUUCCAUGUGUAGCGGUGAAAUGCGUAGAUAUAUGGAGGAACACCGGUGGCGAAAGCGGCUCUCUGGUCUGUAACUGACGCUGAGGCUCGAAAGCGUGGGGAGCAAACAGGAUUAGAUACCCUGGUAGUCCACGCCGUAAACGAUGAGUGCUAGGUGUUAGGCCCUUUCCGGGGCUUAGUGCCGCAGCU